rnacentral:tRNA from 1 species
GCGCUCUUAGCUCAACGGGCAGAGCAUCGGACUCUUAAUCCGAGGGUUGCAGGUUCGAAGCCUGCAGGGCGCA